rnacentral:rRNA from 1 species
GCUGCAACUCGCCUACAUGAAGCCGGAAUCGCUAGUAAUCGUGGAUCAGCAUGCCACGGUGAAUACGUUCCCGGGCCUUGUACACACCGCCCGUCACACCACGAGAGUUUGUAACACCCGAAGUCGGUAGGGUAACCUUUAUGGAGCCAGCCGCCGAAGGUGGGACAGAUAAUUGGGGUGAAGUCGUAACAAGGUAGCCGUAUCGGAAGGUGCGGCUGGAUCACCUCCUUUCUAAGGAA